rnacentral:tRNA from 1 species
UAGCUCACUUGGUAGAGUGCUUGCCUCACAUGCAUGAGGUCCUGGGUUCAAUUCCCAG